AACAAGGCGUACCUGCGGACCUGCGGAGGGAUCAUUACCGAGUUUACAACUCCCAAACCCCUGUGAACAUACCUAUAUGUUGCCUCGGCGGAUCAGCCCGCGCCCCGUAAAACGGGACGGCCCGCCGCAGGAUCCACAAACUCUGUUUUUAUUGUAACUUCUGAGUAACAAAACAAAUAAAUCAAAACUUUUAACAACGGAUCU
rnacentral:misc_RNA from 1 species